UUGCCGUCGCCGAGGUCGGCGGCCCGGGUGACCGGCCCGGAGGCCGUCAGCGCCCGGCUGACCUUGGUGUUCUUCACCCCGGCGGCGAGC
rnacentral:tRNA from 1 species